rnacentral:rRNA from 1 species
UACGAAGGGGGCUAGCGUUGUUCGGAAUUACUGGGCGUAAAGCGCGCGCAGGCGGUCUUCCAAGUCAGUGGUGAAAGCCCGGAGCUCAACUCCGGAACUGCCAUUGAAACUGUUGGACUUGAGGAUGAGAGAGGUGAGUGGAAUUCCCAGUGUAGAGGUGAAAUUCGUAGAUAUUCGGAGGAACACCAGUGGCGAAGGCGGCUCACUGGUCCAUUACUGACGCUGAGGUGCGAAAGCGUGGGGAGCAAACAGG